CAUAUACGACCGUACCGCAAACCGACACUGGUGCGCGAGAUGAGUAUUCUAAGGCGCUUGAGAGAACUCAGGAGAAGGAACUCGGCAAAUUGACACCGUAACUUCGGAAGAAGGUGUGCCCUAUUAGUGUGAAGUGAACAACGGAGCAUGAACGGGUUGCAAAAAAUCGGUGGCUGCGACUGUUUAUUAAAAACACAGCACUCUGCAAACACGAAAGUGGACGUAUAGGGUGUGACGCCUGCCCGGUGCUGGAAGAUUAAAUGAUGGGGUGCAAGCUCUUGAUUGAAGUCCCAGUAAACGGCGGCCGUAACUAUAACGGUCCUAAGGUAGCGAAAUUCCUUGUCGGGUAAGUUCCGACCUGCACGAAUGGCGUAACGAUGGCCACACUGUCUCCUCCUGAGACUCAGCGAAGUUGAAAUGUUUGUGAUGAUGCAAUCUCCCCGCGGAAAGACGGAAAGACCCCAUGAACCUUUACUGUAGCUUUGUAUUGGACUUUGAACAGAUCUGUGUAGGAUAGGUGGGAGGCUUUGAAGCAGGGUCGCUAGAUCUUGUGGAGCCGACGUUGAAAUACCACCCUGGUGUGUUUGAGGUUCUAACCUGGGUCCAUUAUCUGGAUCGGGGACAGUGCAUGGUAGGCAGUUUGACUGGGGCGGUCUCCUCCCAAAGCGUAACGGAGGAGUUCGAAGGUACGCUAGUUACGGUCGGACAUCGUGACGAUAGUGCAAUGGCAUAAGCGUGCUUAACUGCGAGACUGACAAGUCGAGCAGAUGCGAAAGCAGGACAUAGUGAUCCGGUGGUUCUGUAUGGAAGGGCCAUCGCUCAACGGAUAAAAGGUACUCUGGGGAUAACAGGCUGAUACCGCCCAAGAGUUCAUAUCGACGGCGGUGUUUGGCACCUCGAUGUCGGCUCAUCUCAUCCUGGGGCUGUAGCCGGUCCCAAGGGUAUGGCUGUUCGCCAUUUAAAGAGGUACGUGAGCUGGGUUUAAAACGUCGUGAGACAGUUUGGUCCCUAUCUUCCGUGGGCGCUGCAGAUUUGAGGAAGCCUGCUCCUAGUACGGGAGGACCGGAGUGGACACACCUCUGGUGUAUCGGUUGUCACGCCAGUGGCAUUGCCGAGUAGCUAAGUGUGGAAGAGAUAAACGCUGAAAGCAUCUAAGCGUGAAACUCGUUUCAAGAUGAGAUCUGCCGGGGCCUUGAGCCCCCUGAAGAGUCGCUCAAGACCAGGACGUUGAUAGGUCAGGUGUGGAAGCGCAGUAAUGCGUUAAGCUAACUGAUACUAAUUGCUCGUGCGGCUUGACCGA
rnacentral:rRNA from 1 species